GACAAAAACAUAUUGUAUUAUGCAGACUCCCACUCACCGGCUCUGCACGAACAGAGGAUACAAACAAUCUGCUGUGAUAUAGGAUCAUCUGUUUCUAAUUUGUUGAAUCAAAAUCAGUAAAACUUUUAUUAGGGAUGGCUUCUGUUACCUGAUCUUCUCUCGAAGCUCAAUAUGGAGAUUACUCAAAGGAAAAGCAGGCACUUCAGCACAUAUAAAAGAUCUAAAUAAAGCAUUAUCAUUCUCUGAACAACUGAUGUAUCAAUGGUCUCAUCUAAACACAUCAACAAGAUAUUAUAGUGGUCAAAGUCUACUCUUGACAACAGAGUUUUCAUAACCGGUGACUCAACUUUCACAAAACACAAGACACCACUGUGUUGAAUGUCUGGUGGAGAUCACAGGGAGAAAUAACAGCAGCACUUUGGUUUUUACAUGAACUGUAUCAGAAUGGAUGUAAGAAGAUCCAGACUCACUGAAGCUGCUCCAACUUAAGCCUGAAAGUCUACACUUUCUUUUGAAUCAACCCAUUGAAACAGCACUGUGAGGAAAUGUUAAAAGACAAACAUAACAGUGGAAGUGUUCCCUGUGUAAACACUGGAGGAUAUUAUC